AUGAAAUUGCGAACAAAAUAAGCUGAAAAAUUGGAAGAAAAAUAUCCAUAAAUUUACCAGGAAUUUCGUGUUUUGUGGAAGAGAAUUUUGAAAGAGGGGAAAAAGGCGUUUUUGCGUAGCACAGCAGUGUUGCCGAAAGCGCGCCUGUCGUGGAGUCAAUACGUAACGGUCUAGUGAUCGAAAAUGUAAAACGAAAAAUCUGAGGCUCCAGAAGGACCGGAUGAAAGAAGGUGCGGAGAGAAAAAAGUUGUCACACAAUCUUGAGGUAACUGUCAGGUCACGCGCUGGAGAGCCAGAGAAUUUGGCGUUGAAAUUUAACGCGAAAUGCAGCAUACAUUUUACCUCACAGCCGAGUGACUCUGGGGCGAGGUGAGGAUCAUGUCACGUGCAGACCAGUUCUAGUCACGACGCAAUAUAGAUAUCACACCAUGCUCUGUGCAGAGUACUCUUUGUUUCCUCAGCAAUCUUGUCGUCCAAAUUGCGAAAAUAGCAAAAGGAAUAAACCACCACAUAAACAACCCGAAGCACAGAUUCGCAAUGUACAGCGAGCGAUUUACACGGUGAAAAAUAAUUGCUACCACAUCCGAAUGCUGUGUAUGUUGCCUAUCUACGAAUUGAAGGGGUUUAGCGCUUCUUGAAAUGUAUCGCAAUCGAACUGAAAAAAAGUGGAAAUGCUUUUGCAUUGCAAGUCGACUACCCUUCUGAAACAUGGAACUCAUUUCAUUGAUGGUUUCAAAACAACAUUUAUCGAGCAAUUUGAUCGAGUUUAUUAGAAAAACAUCAGGUACAAUAACACGAUAUAAAAACACUUAUUUGAGUAGAGGAAACAUUGGUGCACAUUUAUCGUUACAGAAAUGAACCGAAACAGUUGGUUUGUUUUAUUGCUAUACUCGAUCCAAAUUAUGUAAAAAGAUUGCACUUUCUUGCCGAUUUAAAUAAAGAAAAAAAGAAAAAAGAAAAGAAGAAAAAAGAAAACAUAUGAAAAUUAUCUUGCAUUGAGGUGCAACUUUAAUGUGAUAUUUUCAUUGCACUGUAAUUUAUGAAUAAGGGCUUCGGCACUAAUUUUGUGUCGGCUCAUACUUAAUUACCUAAUCGUGUGGAAACCAAAUUAUCGUAUCCUGGCUGGCAACGUUGUAGAGUUUCUGUCACACGUGGCUCAUCAUUCUUAUUGCAUAGAUUGGCGAUUUUCCUUUGAUAUUUCCUACUCAAAGAAAACUCUUUAAACCUUGUUACUUACUGGUAGGUUGGACUGGAGAAUUUUCAAUUUGGCAACACUGUUUUUUUCCAUUAAAACGUCGAUUUUAGGUGCAAGAUAGGCUGCCUCACCAAGAAUCGAUAUUUUUACAUACAUUUAAAUGGAGGAAAACAGUGAUGCCAAUUUUCAAGAGUUGCCAUUGGAUAGAGGUACGUGUUUUUGUAGCUCCACAUGAUGGGAAAAAUUACCAAGGAUUAUAGUGUACUAUCGAUGAUGGAGUUAUUGGACAUUUAGCAUGCAGUAAGAAGUAAUUUUGAGUAGCAGCUAUACUUUUUUCGUUGUAUGUGCUGGAAAAUUUCUUUUCUCCCACCCUAAUGCGUUGGGAAACACACAGGGAAGCUUGGAGACUUAAACGCUGCGUUGAAAAAUAAACCAUUUUAUGAGGGAUAA